GGGGAAUCAAAUUUUACUGUUUUUAACGGUCAUCUUAUACGUCGCCAAACUCAUGGUCAAACUAUGAGAGUUCGUGUGUAUACUGACAAUAUUUGGGCUGUACCAUUGCCUGAUUUAAGUGGUCGCUUUAGAGAUUGCAGUUCAGCAUUUUAUAGAGAUAAUCCAGCUCAAAUGUAUCGAUUGGUUGGUUUUAUUGUCCGGGAUAUUUCGGCCAUUA